ACACACCCAUUCAUCUAUUAAGUCUUAACAAUUCUAAGAAUGCGUCUGGAUCGGGUAUAACUAAGAACUGCUUAUUUUAGAAAUAUGUGCAAGUUAAGGUAUAAGUAGGAACUAGACCAAUUUUGCGUUUUAAAAAAAAUUGGAUUGUUUCCGAGAAUAAGAUAAAUAGUGUUCGGAUGAUUAGAUUGGGGCAAAAGGAAUAAGAGUUACAAUUUUAAAUUUAAAAUAUUUAUCUAAUUAAUUAACAUAAAAAAUUUAUUAAAAAUAAUUCAAUAAUUAAUUUAUUCUUUAAGAAAUAGAUAGUAAUUUAAAUAUAUUAAUUAAAUUAAUUAAUAAUUUAAGUAUUUAACACCAUAACUAAAAUUAAAUUUAGACUCUAAUUAAUAUAGUUCCCAAUUGGGAACAAGCUUGUUCCAGAAAAAGAUUGGAACAAUAGUUUCAGAUUUAUACUGGGUUAUAUUUACUAGUUUAUUCCAGAGACCUGAGAACUACUAUUCUCGGAUACGAAAAUUUGCACUUGGAUUUAAAAAAGGGGU
rnacentral:lncRNA from 1 species